rnacentral:rRNA from 1 species
UGGCUCAGGAUGAACGCUAGCGGCAGGCUUAACACAUGCAAGUCGAGGGGUAUGCUUCUUCGGGAGCAGAGACCGGCGCACGGGUGCGUAACGCGUAUGCAAUCUACCUUUUACAGAGGGAUAGCCCAGAGAAAUUUGGAUUAAUACCUCAUAGUAUAUAGACUCGGCAUCGAGAUUAUAUUAAAGUCACAACGGUAAAAGAUGAGCAUGCGUCCCAUUAGCUAGUUGGUAAGGUAACGGCUUACCAAGGCUACGAUGGGUAGGGGUCCUGAGAGGGAGAUCCCCCACACUGGUACUGAGACACGGACCAGACUCCUACGGGAGGCAGCAGUGAGGAAUAUUGGACAAUGGGCGCAAGCCUGAUCCAGCCAUGCCGCGUGCAGGAUGACGGUCCUAUGGAUUGUAAACUGCUUUUGUACAGGAAGAAACACNGUUCGUGAACCAGCUUGACGGUACUGUAAGAAUAAGGAUCGGCU